CCAGCUGAAUGACUGUGGAGAUCUGAGUGAUGAACAGAGCUGCUCUACAGUCAGCCUUCAGCCCCCACUGAACCAGCCCACCUUACACAGUUGAAAAGAAGAUGAAGAAGUUUCAGCUUGCAGCUAUGGAGAGUUCACCACGAAAAGAACGAAGUCAAAGAAUACAAAGAUCUGUCCACUUGAAGAUUUUAUGCAGAAUUAUUUGGAUUAUGAAUAGGAACCACAUUAUUUGCAACAGCUUUUAUUAUUUAUACAAACAAGAUGAACAUGAUAUGAUGUGCCAGAAUAUAGGGAGGCUGCCUAAAACAUACAAAAAAAAAUACAGAACACAUGUAAACAACUAAAGAAAAACAGAACAUAUAUAAAAUCAAUAAAUAAAUCAAAUAAACACAGCACAGACUGCAUGAAAUUGGAUUUCUUUAUUUGUUCUUUAAAAGUUUGGAGAAAGGAAACCUGUGGAAUACAAAAGAAACUUGAAAAAUUACUGCAUUUGAUACAUGGAUAUAAUUAAACAUUUUAAGAACAUUA